UCCAAAUUUGAGCAACUCUACUUUGCCAACUGACUCCUUUUGGUCUCAAUUUUUGUGGACAUUCUAAAAUACUCAAAUGGUGACACUACACCAAGUGGUGCAUCAAGGAGAAAAGAUUUGCAUGACUAACUCUUGGAAAACCCAUUUCUGUUGAUUUCUAGGGUUUGCCAAAGUUACAUUGGCAACUUUCUCCAAAUGGACUAAAACUUGGUGAUCCAUCUCAACUCUAUAUUUCAUUUGAUCCUGUUAAUUCUCAUGUCAAGUGGAAUUCAUUUGCUUGCUCAAAACUUUAUCAAACACCUUAUGCCAUUUUUUCCAAAAUCAUCAUUUUGACCCCUUCCACGAUUCUUCUUGAGUUCAAUACCAGGGCUACUCCUAGUCCUACUCUACCUCCAGUAACAAUGGCAAGUUCAUAGCUCCAUUAUUGGGGGUGAAAACCUCUCCCUCUCUCUCUGGACAACAUCUUUCUCUCUCUCCCUCAACCUCUCUCCUCUCCUAGUGGCUCUUCAGAGCAUCCAAUGCCCCUCCCCACUUCUUUACUUCUCUGCGCUACCAGAUACGAGUGGGCAUGCCCCUGCCGCUUAAACAAUGCUAGGGCAUGCCAAACGCAUGCUCAGAGCGCGCUACAGUGCGCCAAGACACUGCAGCCGCCCUCUGCCCGACGCCUCCGACCACCUCGGCUCUCCCCCGCGCGCCAGCAGGACCACCUCGAAGUCUGCAGCAUGCUACACCCCUGUCCCCCUCUUCCUUCUCCCUCCUGCUUCCUCCCUCAUAUGCGCACCGGCCGCCCGAAAGCUCCAAUAGGCAGCCUCACACGCGCGACGCCUCUGACCCUUCCCCGCUCCCCCGUUCUCUUCCCCUUAGCCUAGACCAUAUCCAGGAACGCCCUGGACAUGGCCCCGGGUGCCAAUGCAGCCUCUGGCAUUGCCUUGGCCGUGGCCGUGGACGACACCCAUGGUGCGCCAUGGCUUUGCCAUAGAGAGCCUCUCCAAGCCCCUCUCUUGACGCCCUUCACUCUCUCUCCCUCUCCUAAUUCUCCUGGACCAUCCCACUCCUCCUCCCGUGCCUCCCUUCUCCUCCUGCCACAGCACGACCGCCGCUUCGGCUCGCUCAAAUUCGAGCAACGUCGAGCUCACCUCGCUCCCAUUCCACCACCAACGCGCUCCCCCUAGUUCGGCAAUCCUCCCCACCUCCUCAAACCAUCGCCAGGACACCCGAACGCCGGGAGCCACGGACGGCCAACGGCCUCCCCCGCCACCGUCAAAACCGGGGUGACCUCGGUCCCCUCCGGCGGACGUGACCUACCCCAGCGGAUGCUCCGCUCCGCGCCGAGCUCGCCCAUAGGCGGAGCGCCGCGGGAGACGGGCGGAGGCGCCGGCUAUCGCCGUACGAGCACCGGCGGUGCGCUCUGCCUCCCGUCCUCUCCUUCGAGCGGGAGGUAGAGGACAACCACGCCACCAACCGGCAGGGGCCCCACCUGUAAGCGGCAGCGGCGGCUUGGCCGGCCCCUCUGUCAGGUUAAGUGGAGACGGGCUCCCACGAAAACCGCCUUCGCGACUGCAGACGUACCCUGGGAGUACGCCUUCGACGCCACCACUUCCCCUGCGAGGCUGGGCCACUGGGCUGAGCUCAGUAGGUGUUAUUUAGCUGCGCUUCGCCCAGAGCGCGUAAUAAGGUUGAUGAAGUAGACGGAAUACUCAGAGAUGGACCAGAAGGAUUGAAGAUCUUGCGGAGCCAGGCAAGCAGCCCUUUGACAUGAUGCACCUCUCUUGUUCAUCAAUAAAUUUUCCGUAUGCAUGAUGACAUUGUUGAUUAUGAACUUGAUAUAACAUUGCAUUGAUGCAUGUCCGUUGUUACUUGCAUGUUCGUAGCUCUACCUUGUGCUAGAGGUGCAAUGAAAAAUACUUGAUAUUGACGCA